rnacentral:rRNA from 1 species
CAGCAGCCGCGGUAAUACGAAGGGUGCAAGCGUUAAUCGGAAUUACUGGGCGUAAAGCGUGCGUAGGCGGUGAGUUAAGUCUGCUGUGAAAUCCCCGGGCUCAACCUGGGAACUGCAUUUGUGACUGGCAAGCUAGAGUAUGGCAGAGGGGGGUGGAAUUCCGCGUGUAGCAGUGAAAUGCGUAGAUGUGCGGAGGAACACCGAUGGCGAAGGCAGCCCCCUGGGCCAAUACUGACGCUGAGGCACGAAAGCGUGGGGAGCAAACAGGAUUAGAUACCCCAGUAGUCCCUGUCUCUUAUAC